UACGUAGGCAGCGAGCGUUGUUCGGAGUUACUGGGCGUAAAGGGUGUGUAGGCGGUGGCUUAAGUUUGGUGUGAAAUCUCCCGGCUCAACUGGGAGGGUGCGCCGAAUACUGAGUUGCUCGAGUGCGGGAGAGGAGAGUGGAAUUCCUGGUGUAGCGGUGAAAUGCGUAGAUAUCAGGAGGAACACCGGUGGUGUAGACGGCUCUCUGGACCGUAACUGACGCUGAAACACGAAAGCGUGGGUAGCAAACAGG
rnacentral:rRNA from 1 species